CAGCUUUUCAGUCUGGGUCUGAGCUGGAACCUGCUGCAAGCGUUUGAUGUUUGGAAAUGCGGCUAGACAAUUAUGUUUUGAGGACCAACUGGAAGAGAAGAAAUCAUUGUAUACUUUACCAACAAUGCGUGACUCUGUCUUGAAAAGAAUAUACUGGAAUCCUAUUCAGCCCUGAUUCUGAAAAACCCUCUCUCCACUCCAGGAGGCUGAGGCACGUGGUCCAAGAAAAUGAGUAGAGAACAGAGUUGGAGGAAAAAAUGAAGAGAAAUAUUUUGGCUGCAUAAUUCUCCUCCCAUCCCUGCCCAUGCCAAGACUUUUCCUUUGAGCUCUGAACCAUUAACUCUUAGUGCACUUGGAGACAUUACUAAGCUAAGGGGAUUUUCCUUACCAAGGAAGAAAAAGGAAAAAAAAAAAGCCAUUUAUCAUUUGCUGGAGAAGGAAGAAAGGAAAACCAUCCAAAUAUGUUUUUUUUUUCUGAUUAAAAACAGCUAGAACCAUGAUCUCCCUAUUAAUAUCUUCCUUCUCCAAACUUCCUUGUCUAUGAUUCUUAACUCUCUCAUCCAAGUAUUCAUCAAGUAUGUAUUCAAGUAGUUCAUGCUAUGGGGCAGGCAUUUUUCCAAACAUAGAAUUCUGUAAUCUCAGCCAUCAAAGUGGUGAGGGAAAAGAUGGCAAACAAUUAUCACAUACUAUGUAUAUAGUGGUUUAAAAAGCAUUGCAUACAAUGUAGGUGUACAAUGGAGGUAUGAAAAGACAUGAAAAUAGUGAAUUUAGAGCUAGAUGUCAUAAGAUCUUUGUUCUCUAUUCAGAAGAUCUGACCUGAAAAUGUGAAGAGCUUAAGUAAUAAGGGAUACCUAUAUCAAGUUUACAUUUCUAAAAUUUAUUUAUCUUAUUGGCGUAGAUCUUCUGCAAAAAUAUUUUAAGUUUUAAAUUUUGAAGUGUAGACGAUGGAUGACCAUAAAUGAUAUUAAUAAUAAAACAGAAGAAGCACUUUGGGAAUCGUGAGGGAAGGACUUCUGAAAAUCCUUGCUUUCUUAGAAACAUCAAAAAUAGAAAUAGUCUAAAUCAAAUUUUUCAGAUCUCUGGAAAUUGACCAAAGUCACACAACAGUAGUAGGAGCAUUUAUUUAAGAGAAAAAUGGAUGAUGUGGGAUGAUGUCAGCAAAAUGUCUGAUUAAGAUGUUAC